AACGAACGCUGGCGGCAGGCCUAAUACAUGCAAGUCGAACGGGCGUAGCAAUACGUCAGUGGCGGACGGGUGAGUAACACGUGGGAACAUGCCUUUCGGUUCGGAAUAACGCAGGGAAACUUGCGCUAAUACCGGAUGACCCGGCGACGGAAAAGAUUUAUCGCCGAAAGAUUGGCCCGCGUAGGAUUAGCUAGUUGGUGAGGUAACGGCCCACCAAGGCGACGAUCCUUAGCUGGUUUGAGAGAACGAUCAGCCACACUGGGACUGAGACACGGCCCAGACUCCUACGGGAGGCAGCAGUAGGGAAUCUUGGACAAUGGGGGAAACCCUGAUCCAGCCAUGCCGCGUGAGUGAUGAAGGCCUUCGGUUGU
rnacentral:rRNA from 1 species